UAACAAGGAUUCCCCUAGUAACUGCGAGUGAAGCGGGAAAAGCUCAAAUUUAAAAUCUGGCGGUCUUCGAUCGUCCGAGUUGUAGUCUGGAGAAGCGUCUUCCGCGCUGGACCGUGUACAAGUCUCUUGGAACAGAGCGUCGUAGAGGGUGAGAAUCCCGUCUUUGACACGGACUACCAGUGCUUUGUGAUGCGCUCUCAAAGAGUCGAGUUGUUUGGGAAUGCAGCUCAAAAUGGGUGGUAAAUUCCAUCUAAAGCUAAAUAUUGGCGAGAGACCGAUAGCGAACAAGUACCGUGAGGGAAAGAUGAAAAGCACUUUGGAAAGAGAGUUAAACAGUACGUGAAAUUGCUGAAAGGGAAACGAUUGAAGUCAGUCGCGUCGUCUAGAACUCAACCUUGCCUCGGCUCGGUGCAUUUUCUAGUUGACGGGCCAGCAUCAGUUUUGACCGUCGGAAAAAGGUCCUCGGAAUGUGGCACCUUCGGGUGUGUUAUAGCCUUGGGUCGUAUACGACGGUUGGGACUGAGGACCGCAGCACGCCUUUAUGGCCGGGGUUCGCCCACGUACGUGCUUAGGAUGCGGCGUAA
rnacentral:rRNA from 1 species